GAAAAUCUUUUCAAAAGUACGGACAUAUCCUGUAACCUGAGAUUCCAUAUUGACUGCUCAACCAUAAAAGUAAAGACCACUCAAGAAUCAAGAUCUUAGGGCAGCAGUGUUCAGCUAUACUAAGAAGUACUACUUACAAGGGCGUACGGGGUAUUCUGUUCUUUUCAAGUAAAAGGCGAUAAUAAUGGCCUCUCUCCAGGUUUUGGGUUGGAUUCUCGUUCAUCUCGGUAUUUGUGAUGGAGUUGAUAGCGCAAAGGAAGUCACAGUCAUGCAAGGUCUUUUACUCGCUUACACAGAGAAAAAGAUGCAAUUCGGUUUUGGCUUUUUGUGACUUUUAAAAACAUUGGAUGUGGAAGUAAAAUAUAAAAAAAAUCUUUGCAUAAUUUGAAAAAGUUUGAAAUUUAGAUAUGUUAUUAACAAAUUGUUGAUCUAAUUGUAUGAUUAAUUUCAAAUAUGUAUUUUCAGUACUUUUUAUGAUACUUGCAAAAUAGCAAUUGGUGGGUUAGGAGUUUUGUUAAAUAUAUUCAUUGUAAAGAUUGAUAGUCAAAGACUUAUUAUACGACUUUCUUGUAUUUAUGGAAAGAAACAUUAUAUUUUUAUAAUAAGCUACUUUAAAAUGUAGCUAUAGGUACAGGAUUUGGUGGUUUAUAGCCGUACCAACUUGUUCUUAUAUCCAGCUCCGGUUUACCAUUAAAUAUUGACCCCGUUGAAAACUGACCCCAUGGGUCCCUUUUCAACGUUGAGAAUUGACCCCGCCAACAAUUCAACAUUAAAGUUUGAUUAAAAGGUCGUUGAAAGCUGAUCAGUCGUUCAAUUUUGAUCAGUCAUGGGGUCACUUUAUAACGGUUAGCUAAAUUUAAGUUAAACGUCGGAGAUCGUCUGUUUGUAGAAGAGAAACACAAGAGAAACAAAUUGGAAAGAACCAAAAACUAUCGUAGACUUGCUGGAUAGCCUACCUUCUUUAAAAAUAAUUUCACAAGGCCGAGCCCGGGAUCAAACUGACAGGCGAGAUCUAUAUGUUGGUUGGACAGGGAACUGUUAACGAAGGUUUACCAUAAUGAUUUUCGACAGGUUAGUGGGGUGUGGUCGGACUUCGACAGGCACAUCGAAACUUCCAUGCAGGAAGUAUCUUUUCCUGCAGCAGCGUAUUUAAAUAAACAGGAAAGACGUCAUGUCGUUUCAAAGACAAAUAACUGUUUAGUUUCGGUUUUAUUUUAUCGCUUGCAGCCUAACGUUAUGUACUUUAACUAAAAUUACUUUUUUUGAAUCGAGAAAUCAGAUUAUUUCAAAUAGUAUGAUCCUAGGGUCGUGGUCGUACUAAUUCGAGUUGUCCGUUAAAGCUAAAUUGAUUUAUCGUAAUUCAGGCUCGUACUUAUUCGAUUAGAAUAAUAGAAUAUGUCUGACAUAGGGUCGUACUAAAUAAAAUAACGUAAUAGAUAUGUCCCGUUUUUAUCAGUCAAGUGUAUUUUGAUACCGCUCCUCUGGACUAUUUGGUCGAACGUCGUUAUAGCCCCGCAAAACGUCAUCUUUUCGCCUUCCAGAUUGACGUGAUUGUAUUAAUUAAAUUAAGGAAUAAUAUAUCCCAAACAGUAAUUUAUCAUUGAAUAAAAUCAUUGUUUGGAGUUUAGAUGCGAAGGAAUUAUAUCACGAGGACGCAUCUAAACUGGGGAGGGCCCUGGAUAAUGUUGUAAUAACGUUUGGCCCAACCCAUUUGUAUGUAUUUGAUUUAAUGCUUGUAUUAAAUGUGAUUUAUACACAUGUGAAUAUAAUAUAUAC